AUGGAGAAACGAUGGUCAUCUACACCUGUAGCGUCUGAGCCAGCAUUGAAGGGCAUGAGGAGGUCAGCUUCAGCACCCUACAAGCUUGCGAGGAUUACCGAAUUUUUGACCCUGCAAAAGGAGUUGGGGAUAAAAAUUUUGGUCUACAGCUCCACCAGCAUUGUCCACUUCUGUCUUAGACCAAGCCACUACAUCUCAGGUGACUUUGUUCUACUGAAGUUGGACAGUGCAAACUUAGUUUCACAUUAUAUGACUGGACUAAAUGGUGUACUUUAAAGAAAACCUGUGUAAAAAUCUGGCCUUGUGGACUUUUACUGCCAGAUAAAUAUUCAGUGUGGUAAAUAACUAUCUUGGAAGAGUUAUAAUCUUAGAAUAAUUCUAGAAAUGCAGAGCUGGAAGGGUCAUCAUCAAGUCCAGCCCCUUUCAAGGAAAUCCAGUGGGGAAUCGAACUCCCAGCCUCAGGCUCUUAAACCUCUGAACUCUCUGGCAGUUGACUUGAGUUAUGCUAAGGUUCAUUACCAGAGCUUGAAAAAAGUUACUUUUUCUGAAUAAAACUCAUUGGUGACAACUCA
rnacentral:lncRNA from 1 species